CCAUAAAAAAGUAACUAGGAGCCCGUUUGGAUUGACUUAUAAGUUGCUUACAAGCUGUUUUCAGUUUUUUUGAGUGUUUGACUGACCGGCUUAAAGUCAUUUUGUGCUUAAAAUAAGCUCAAAAAAAUAAUUGGGCUCAUUUGACUUAGCUUAUCUAAAACAGCUUAUAAGUUGAAAAUAGCUUAUAAGCCAAAAAAAAAUUAGACUACCCAACUUAUAAACUGCAAACAGCUUAUAGGCUCAUCCAAACAGGCUCUAGAUGGUUACAUAUUUAGUCCCUAGUAAAAAAAUUUUUGUUUUUGUUUUAAAUGAGUCAACCACUAAGCGUAUUGUUUUUUAUUUUAUUAAAUAAUAAAGUUGUCCCAACAUCAACAAUUAAGAAAACGGAAAAGGAAAUUUCUACACUCUAUUACACCAUCUCUCUAAAAUCCCUAAAAAUUACGGUUCACUUUCUACUCCAUUUGCCGAUUCAACUCCCUUGAAGCUCAGCUGUAACAUGAGGAUCGGAGAUGCAGAGAGUUGCAGAGUUCAGGUGCCAGUUUUGCAGACAAACAGGCUUCAGGCUAGAGAUCAUCGCUCUCCGUGCUUUUGGUAGCUCCACUUCUUUCUUUCGGUGGGGCCUCGUAUAUGUUUAUUCAUUUAUUCCUUUAUUUAGCAUUUGUUUUGGGAUUAGCCAGGAACCCUAUGUCCUGUGCAUUUCCUUUAGUACUCCAAUAGAGGCUUCGUAGACGUGUUUUAGUUGAUAACGGUACUCAGGGGCGGAGCCACAUUAGCUCCAGGGGGUUUAUCUGAACCCCCUUAGCGAAAAAUUAUAGUGUAUUUUCAAAGUUAAAAUUAUUUUAUUAUGUAUAUAUAGUAGAUGUUGAACCCCCUGA